rnacentral:tRNA from 1 species
GCCGGAGUGGCGGAAUGGCAGACGCUCUAGACUCAGAAUCUAGUGAUGGUUAUCAUCGUGUGGGUUCGACUCCCAUCUUCGGCACCA